GCCAUUUACAAAUGGUGCACAAAACCCGCAGAGAUCAUCAACUUAGGGCACCAAGAUUUACACUUUAAUCAUCAGCAAUUUAUCUUACUGAUAACUCAAUCAACUUGGAUAUUUCUCACCAUUGACUUAAGAAAGCAGAGCAGACACUGUGCUGGGGACUUUGAGCAAUGCAGAGGAAUGGAGAAUGCCCCCCAAGAACUUAGAAGAGAUGGACAUUUGCAUUAUUCUCUGUAAUGACUGCACAGUGUGAGUCCAGCCUACAAAAGGCCACCGAGUUGAUUGAUUCGGAAGUUCAGUGAUAUUAAGGCUCUUUCCUUUUCUCUGGUCUACCAUCCUGGGCAUUUCCUUCAACCUCAAGUAGGUAGCAGGACUGUUGUAGUGGUAUCAGGUAUUACAUCUAGACAUGGAACAAGAGAAGUUAUUUCUUUCCUAUAACUUUCUAUGGAACUAAUUUUUUUUUCACUAAGUACUUCCCAGAAGAAAAACUUCCUUCUUUUUGGAAAAUACUAAGUCAUCUAUCCAUGUAUGAACCAAUCAAUGCCAAGGAGAUGGAUUACCAUCACACCCAUCCAUGAAGAUAACCCCAAGGCUCAUGGUUCUGUGCAAAAGGAGUAGAUAUCUGAACAAGAUUUUGACUCUAUUGGGAGCAAAAGAGGAUGAUGGUUGCUGGGAAGGUUACCAACAAAGAUCACUACACUGGCCCAACUUACUGUUGACACAGUAAAGUGUCCCGCACUUGUAUGCUAGGAUUAUUAUCACAGAUUUGGCUUCUGACACACUCAUUGCUUUGGAGAGGAUGGUUAAGUCAGAAAAAAGACUUUUGAGACUCAAAAUUCUGGACCCCGAUUCUGCUUGGAGCCAAGAUAAAGUUGUGUUUGCUCCAGGUUAUCGGCAUUGUGCCUGCACUGAAUAAAAACAAGCAGCUCCAACUUCUCAGGGCUGCUCUCUGGCCACUAGAGCCAGGCAGUCACCUAGCUGCUGUUAUGCUGCAUACCUGUCUCUGAGUACUCGCUUCAUCCAUCGGCCAGGGUCUGUGGGACAGACCAGGCAGGUGGUGCCCCAUGUGAGGAACGCUGCAAUGGAUUGCAAGGGAACCCCUGAAAACAAAUGUGAAGUGACUGAGCAGUGUUAACCUUAGAAGACUAGAACCUAAUGAGUUAUGGCAAACAGAUGUUAUGCACGUCCCUGAAUUUGGAAAACUAAGGUCCUCUUUGGAUUCCAGCACGAGGCAUCAAACCAUACCAUGGCAUGGCUAGGACCCAACCCGGUACCAAAAUGAAGAAAAUGACCCUACAGGACCCACAAUCCCGGAUGAUGUGGCUUCCUUGGAUGACACAGGCCCUGGACAUUACCUGGGGGAUGCUGAAGAAGACAACUCAGGAGGCCAAGCAAAUCCUGCUCCAGGCACAGACACCAUUCACUCCAGGAAGCUGCCAUUCAUUCGACAUAAGUAGGUGCUUCAUCUGAUAAGCGCUGCUUGUGUAAUUUAUCAAUGACAGAGAAGGCAGAUAGCAGCAUGCAUACUUGGGGCUGCAUUUGAAGGAGAGCAACAUCCCUUUGUUUUCACAGAGGAGAACAAGCAUGAGUUGAGAUUGUGGUGCUUCUUGAAGUCUCAUCCAGAUCAGAAACCUGCUGCUCUGUCCACAUUCCAUCCACCAAAGCAACCCAUAUGGCCAUGUCCAGCAUCAGAUGGGGAAAGGCAGUUCUCCUCUAGCACGAGGAGCUGCAAAGCCACAUGGCAAAGGAUGAGUGUGUAAAAAAUAAAUGCAGGAGGGCAGGAGGCAUUGGGAACAAUGA
rnacentral:lncRNA from 1 species